rnacentral:rRNA from 1 species
UACUCCUACGGGAGGCAGCAGUGGGGAAUAUUGGACAAUGGGCGCAAGCCUGAUCCAGCCAUACCGCGUGGGUGAAGAAGGCCUUCGGGUUGUAAAGCCCUUUUGUUGGGAAAGAAAUCCAGCUGGUUAAUACCCGGUUGGGAUGACGGUACCCAAAGAAUAAGCACCGGCUAACUUCGUGCCAGCAGCCGCGGUAAUACGAAGGGUGCAAGCGUUACUCGGAAUUACUGGGCGUAAAGCGUGCGUAGGUGGUCGUUUAAGUCCGUUGUGAAAGCCCUGGGCUCAACCUGGGAACUGCAGUGGAUACUGGACGACUAGAGUGUGGUAGAGGGUAGCGGAAUUCCUGGUGUAGCAGUGAAAUGCGUAGAGAUCAGGAGGAACAUCCAUGGCGAAGGCAGCUACCUGGACCAACACUGACACUGAGGCACGAAAGUGUGGGGAGCAAACAGGAUUAGAUACCCUGGUAGUCCACGCCCUAAACGAUGCGAACUGGAUGUUGGGUGCAAUUUGGCACGCAGUAUCGAAGCUAACGCGUUAAGUUCGCCGCCUGGGGAGUACGGUCGCAAGACUGAAACUCAAAGGAAUUGACGGA